UCUGGUGAAAAGGCAGAAGCCCCUUGCCCUGAGCCUAGGGAAGGCUGAGGGCUAGAAAGAAAAAGACCUUCUUCCCAUGAUCCUCUUCUGGAGAGACAAAGACACACCCAUGAGGACUCUGGAAGGUGACAGCCAAGCUGUGCAGAAACAAAGGCUGCUUUUCCUCUUCAUCACUGCUAGGCUGAAUGUUGGAGCCUGGAGCAGCUGAGUUUGGGCGUCUGUGGUCAAGUCCUUGUCUGAUUCAUCUCUGUGUGCCUGCAGGAACUGCCCAGAGGAUGGGCCAGGUGAAGGAGUCACCUUAGAAGAUAAGGCCUCCCUUGAUGAGGUUUAAAUCAAACCGACUCUGGCCUGAAAAAAAUGCCACCUGCCCCACUGCCUGCUGACCUUGGAAUGGCUUCCUUCUAGAGAUUCGGAUUGCAAAAUCCAGAAUUUAUGCAAUUGAGUUC
rnacentral:lncRNA from 1 species